AACGAACGCUGGCGGCAUGCCUAACACAUGCAAGUCGAACGAGACCUUCGGGUCUAGUGGCGCACGGGUGCGUAACGCGUGGGAACCUGCCCUUAGGUUCGGAAUAACUCCCCGAAAGGGGUGCUAAUACCGGAUAAUGUCUUCGGACCAAAGAUUUAUCGCCUUUGGAUGGGCCCGCGUUGGAUUAGCUAGUUGGUAGUGUAAAAGCCUACCAAGGCGCCGAUCCAUAGCUGGUCUGAGAGGAUGAUCAGCCACACUGGGACUGAGACACGGCCCAGACUCCUACGGGAGGCAGCAGUGGGGAAUAUUGGACGAUGGGCGAAAGCCUGAUCCAGCAAUGCCGCGUGAGUGGUGAAGGCCUUAGGGUUGUAAAGCUCUUUUACCCGGGAUGAUAAUGACAGUACCGGGAGAAUAAGCGCCGGCUAACUACGUG
rnacentral:rRNA from 1 species